UCCUUAGUACAGUGGUUAGUACACUUGACAUGGAAAUAAGAUACAUGGGUUCAAUUCCCACAGGA
rnacentral:tRNA from 1 species